rnacentral:rRNA from 1 species
CCUACGGGGUGCAGCAGUGAGGAAUAUUGGUCAAUGGCCGGAAGGCUGAACCAGCCAAGCCGCGUGAAGGACGAAGGUGCCAAGCAUUGUAAACUUCUUUUGUCAAGGGACAAAAUCAGGCUCGAGAGCCUGACCGAGGGUACUUGAAGAAAAAGCAUCGGCUAACUCCGGGCCAGCAGCCGCGGUAAUACGGAGGAUGCGAGCGUUAUCCGGAUUUAUUGGGUUUAAAGGGUGCGUAGGCGGACUGUUAAGUCAGCGGUAAAAGCCCGGGGCUAAACCCCGGCGAGCCGUUGAAACUGGCUGUCUAGAGAUGUCGAGAGGUAUGCGGAAUGCGCAGUGUAGGGGUGAAAUGCUUAGAUAUUGCGCAGAACUCCGAUUGCGAAGGCAGCAUACCGGCGGCGAUCUGACGCUGAGGCACGAAAGCGUGGGUAUCGAACAGGAUUAGAUACCCGGGUAGUC